UAUGUCUUGUAACUAGCUAUUUAUGGAUAAGGCGUGUAGUAGAAUUGCUUGAAGCCAAAAGGGGCUCUCAAAUUGCGUUAAUAACAGCACCCCCACCCUCCUCUCUGUGCGAAGAAAUUAUUAUGGACCAGAAAGAAAAGGAGGUGUGAAAGGCUAGCAAAAAGUUGCGAAGAAAUACUGAGAGACACGAGAGGAAAAGGAAAGGGUGGAAGCGGAAAGAGGAGGAAAGGUUAUCAGAUGCUGCAGCGGAGUGCUAGAGCCCGUAUGUGUUGUUGCAGUACCAAUUUGGACACUUCACUGCUUGACCUUUGAACGUUAAGAUGUUGAUCGAAAAAUAUUCAGUCCCAGGAGCUUAAAAAUUGCAACGUAGGAGGCAAGAACUCUUGAAGACGGAGAACCAAAUGCAAGUUACAGUCAGCAAGAGUCCUGCCAUUCUCGAGUAUCCUAGCCUUCCACCUCCAAAGUGAUGGUUUUUCCUGGUAGCGUCUUCAUAAAAAAUUUGCAUUUCACCUCGGAGGCGAAAGACCAAGUGAAGAGUGGGACUCCUUUUGGAUACGGGCCGCUUUCAAGCUGUUUCCCUGCGAAGAUAAGCCUUUGCUGAUCCGGUGGGAUCCCUUCCUUGUCCCAGAUCUUGGCCUUGACAUUAUCAGAGCUUUCGACCCCCAACAUUAUAAAAAUAGACAGAACGAGUGAGAGAAUCAUCGACGAAGCCAAAAUCGAAAAUCCAUAGAAGAAAAGAGCUGGGAUGAAAUUGGAUGAAGGGAUCUGAGAAGAUCCGAUGUGUUUAUCGGAGGCAAGAGGCAGAUAAAUUUGUUGGCUUCUUCUUUCUCUGAUACAGAUACAGAUACAGAUACGUUCGCAUAGCCUAGUAUUUCUUUCUUUUGAUGUAAAUUCGUUUGAGAAUGAUACGGUGAAAGUGUCGAUUUGCAAUCAAAAGAUUAACAAUGCCAGAAGUGAGGGUUAACGAACUACACUCGAACUUGAUCU